rnacentral:rRNA from 1 species
CCUACGGGGGGCUGCAGUAGGGAAUUUUCCGCAAUGGGCGAAAGCCUGACGGAGCAACGCCGCGUGAGGGAAGAAGGUCUUCGGAUCGUAAACCUUUGUCAUCGAGGACGAUAAUGACGGUACUCGAGGAGGAAGCCCCGGCUAACUACGUGCCAGCAGCCGCGGUAACACGUAGGGGGCGAGCGUUGUCCGGAAUUACUGGGCGUAAAGGGCGCGUAGGCGGCCUAAUAAGUCAGAUGUGAAACCCCCGGGCUUAACCCUGGGCUUGCAUUUGAAACUGUUGGGCUUGAGGACAGGAGAGGAAAGCGGAAUUCCCAGUGUAGCGGUGAAAUGCGUAGAUAUUGGGAGGAACACCAGUGGCGAAGGCGGCUUUCUGGACUGUAACUGACGCUGAGGCGCGAAAGCCAGGGUAGCGAACGGGAUUAGAUACCCCAGUAGUC